GAUGAACGCUGGCGGCGUGCCUAAUACAUGCAAGUCGAGCGAACAGACGAGGAGCUUGCUCCUCUGACGUUAGCGGCGGACGGGUGAGUAACACGUGGAUAACCUACCUAUAAGACUGGGAUAACUUCGGGAAACCGGAGCUAAUACCGGAUAAUAUAUUGAACCGCAUGGUUCAAUAGUGAAAGACGGUUUUGCUGUCACUUAUAGAUGGAUCCGCGCCGCAUUAGCUAGUUGGUAAGGUAACGGCUUACCAAGGCGACGAUGCGUAGCCGACCUGAGAGGGUGUUCGGCCACACGGGAACUGAGACACGGUCCAGACUCCUACGGGAGGCAGCAGUAGGGAAUCUUCCGCAAUGGGCGAAAGCCUGACGGAGCAACGCCGCGUGAGUGAUGAAGGUCUUCGGAUCGUAAAACUCUGUUAUUAGGGAAGAACAAAUGUGUAAGUAACUAUGCACGUCUUGACGGGACCUAAUCAGAAAGCCACGGCUAACUACGUG
rnacentral:rRNA from 1 species